rnacentral:rRNA from 1 species
GACCUCGGAUCAGGUAC